GAUGAACGCUGGCGGCGUGCCUAAUACAUGCAAGUCGAGCGAAUGGAUUAAGAGCUUGCUCUUAUGAAGUUAGCGGCGGACGGGUGAGUAACACGUGGGUAACCUGCCCAUAUGACUGGGAUAACUCCGGGAAACCGGGGCUAAUACCGGAUAAUAUUUUGAACUGCAUGGUUCAAAAUUGAAAGGCGGCUUCGGCUGUCACUUAUGGAUGGACCCGCGUCGCAUUAGCUAGUUGGUGAGGUAACGGCUCACCAAGGCAACGAUGCGUAGCCGACCGGAGAGGGUGAUCGGCCACACUGGGACUGGGACACGGCCCAGACUCCUACGGGAGGCAGCAGUAGGGAAUCUUCCGCAAUGGACGAAAGUCUGACGGAGCAACGCCGCGUGAGUGAUGAAGGCUUUCGGGUCGUAAAACUCUGUUGUUAGGGAAGAACAAGUGCUAGUUGAAUAAGCUGGCACCUUGACGGUACCUAACCAGAAAGCCACGGCUAACUACGUGCCAGCAGCCGCAGUAA
rnacentral:rRNA from 1 species